rnacentral:rRNA from 1 species
AUAUCAAUAAGCGGAGGAAAAGAAACCAACAGGGAUUGCCUCAGUAACGGCGAGUGAAGCGGCAACAGCUCAAAUUUGAAAUCUGGCCUCGCGGCCCGAGUUGUAAUUUGUAGAGGAUGCUUCGAGCAUGGUCUGGCCUAAGUUCCUUGGAACAGGACGUCGUGGAGGGUGAGAAUCCCGUAUGCGGCCAGGUGCCUACGCUCAUGUGAAGCUCCUUCGACGAGUCGAGUUGUUUGGGAAUGCAGCUCAAAAUGGGUGGUAAAUUUCAUCUAAAGCUAAAUAUUGGCCAGAGACCGAUAGCGCACAAGUAGAGUGAUCGAAAGAUGAAAAGCACUUUGGAAAGAGAGUUAAACAGUACGUGAAAUUGUUGAAAGGGAAGCGCUUGCAACCAGACUUGCGCGCGGCCGAUCAUCCGGUGUUCUCACCGGUGCACUCGGUCGUGCUCAGGCCAGCAUCGGUUUCGGUGGUUGGAUAAAGGCCCUAGGAAUGUAGCUUCUCUCGGGGAGUGUUAUAGCCUAGGGUGCAAUGCAGCCUACCGGGACCGAGGACCGCGCUUCGGCUAGGAUGCUGGCGUAAUGGUUGUAAGCGA